UACGUAGGGCGCGAGCGUGUCCGGAAUUAUUGGGCGUAAAGAGCUCGUAGGCGGUCUGUCACGUCGGCUGUGAAAUCCCGAGGCUCAACCUCGGGUCUGCAGUCGAUACGGGCAAACUAGAGUAUUGCAGGGGAGACUGGAAUUCCUGGUGUAGCGGUGAAAUGCGCAGAUAUCAGGAGGAACACCGAUGGCGAAGGCAGGUCUCUGGGCCACUACUGACGCUGAGAAGCGAAAGCAUGGGGGAGCGAACAGG
rnacentral:rRNA from 1 species